CCCUAACUCCCCAUUAUUCCCCAAACCCUAACUCAUCGCUCAGCCGAUAGAAGCCGAGACAUGGAGACAGUCGAGUAGUCUCCGGUUUCCGCCGACUACCGCCGAGUUCUGACACCGGAAGACUCCGCUUCUCCGCCUGCACCCUUGAAGACGACGCAGCUGUUGCCCGGUCUCCGCCUCAGCCCCUGCCGACGACGAAGAUGCUGUCCGGUCUCCGCCUCUGCCCCUGCCGACGACGAAGCUGCUGCCCGUUCUCCGCCUUAGCCUCCCUUGUGAACCAAGUUUUAAAAGCACUAGGAUAGCUUGAAUAAGAACUUGGUUGAUCAUUGCUUUGAAUGGACAAAGCCAAAAUGAGAUGGCUCCGUUGAAAUGAGAUUCAUGCUAUCCUCUGUAACUACAAGUAUUUCACAGUCCAGGUCAGGCUUGUGAACCUCCCAAAAGGUGGUACAGUUAUUUUGUUUGAUCGUAAGAAGCUCAGAAACUUUUGAAAAGAUGGUCAUAAUUGGAAGAAGA